GCAUUAAAGGGUCACAUUCCUAUUUUAAUUGCCUGGGAACAUGAUGUUCUAGGGCAUAAGCUAGUUUUUAUCUAUUUCUGAUUUCAUUCUUUAUGCCUUGUCAAACAUUUGUACUGAGAGAUCUUGUCAUAAGAUUCUUCCUAAUAUGUGGAAUUGAAAAAAUAAGAAAGUAGAAAAGAGACACUAUUAGACAAGAGGAAG
rnacentral:lncRNA from 1 species